UAUCUCUGUAGAGUCUGCAUAUCAAUAAGCGGAGGAAAAGAAACUAACUAGGAUUCCCUCAGUAACGGCGAGUGAAGCGGGAAGAGCUCAAAUUUGAAAUCUUCAAGGUUCUACCUUGACGAAUUGUAGUUUAAAGAAGUGUUUUCUGUUGGAGUUUUGGUAAAAGUUCUUUGGAAUAGGACAUCAUAGAGGGUGAGAAUCCCGUAUUUGACCAUUAUUUCCAACUUUGUGAUACACUUUCAAAGAGUCGGAUUGUUUGGGAAUGCAGUCCAAAAUGGGUGGUAAAUUUCAUCUAAAGCUAAAUACUGGCGAGAGACCGAUAGCGAACAAGUAUCGUGAGGGAAAGAUGAAAAGAACUUUGAAAAGAGAGUUAAACAGUACGUGAAAUUGUCAAAAGGGAAGCGUUUGACACCAGUGUUGUUUUUCCGAAAAUCAAUUACGAAUGUUUUAUUUUUGAGGAGUUAUGACUUCAUCGGCUUGCUCCUUUCUUUAUGAAACUUUCUUAAUGCACUUUUCGGUUAACAAGUCAACAUCAAUUUCUUUUGUUGUAAAAGGGUAUGAGGAAGGUGGCUUUCUUUUCGGAGAAAGUGUUUAUAGCCUUGUGCCUCUGCAAUCGGAGAGAUUGAGGUCUGCAGCGUAGAUCCUUCGGGGUUAGAUACAUUUGUGCUAAGUUAUAGCUUUUCAUAGACAACUUGUUGACUAUAUUUAGUCUUGUAGCUUACUCGCUGACGCUAUUUUACCUACGCUUAGGAUGUUGAUGUGAUACUGCGAGCA
rnacentral:rRNA from 1 species